GCGAGAGUGGCGGAAUUGGCAGACGCGCUGGAUUUAGGUUCCAGUGCCGCAAGGCGUGCGGGUUCGAGUCCCGCCUCUCGCA
rnacentral:tRNA from 2 species